rnacentral:pre_miRNA from 1 species
CGACGAGCAGGCACGAUAGCGUCUGUGUGUUUGAAAAGGCGCGAUAGCGUCUGUACGUCCGA